rnacentral:misc_RNA from 1 species
CAUUUUGUGUCUGUUGGCGGAAAUAGCUGUUCUCAUAGACCAGCUGAGACACCUGUUUUUGCAACCUAUCAUUCUCCUCCAUCAAUAACUUAUUCAUCGCCGUCAACUUCCUAUUCACAGCUUGAAGCCGCGAUGCCUCUGUUCUCUGCUUCUCUCUACAUCGUCGGUUCUGAAACCAAACUUUGAUCUGCUUAGGCUCUAUAUUGG